rnacentral:rRNA from 1 species
GACGAACGCUGGCGGCGUGCCUAAUACAUGCAAGUAGGACGCAGUUGCGAACGGGUGAGUAACGCGUAGGUAACUGCCUAUUAGAGGGGGAUAACUAUUGGAAACGAUAGCUAAUACCGCAUACUAGUAGAUGGACCUGCGUUUUAUUAGCUAGUAGGUAGGGUAAUGGCCUACCUAGGCAACGAAACAUAGCCGACCGUAGAGGGUGAUAGGCCACACUGUGCCGUAGACACGGCCCAGACUCCCACGGGAGGCAGCAGUAGGGAAGCUUCGGCAAUGUGGGGAACCCUGACCGAGCAACCCCGAGGGAGUGAAGAAGGUCUUCGGAUCGUAAAGCUCUGUUGUUAAGGAAGCGGUACUUAACCAGAAAGGGACGGCUAACUACGUGCCAGCAGCCGCGGUAAUUC